ensembl:lncRNA
AUGGGUAUUAAAAGGAUGGUUUCAUCUGAUCUUCCUUCUCUUUUCCCCUGGUUGUCCUUCACUGCACAGAAAAAUAACAGAGAAAUAAAACUGUCUCUUAAGCAAUGGAAUGAAAUAAGCCCUCCAGAAGAGACCGGAUGCUGUUCCACAUCCCCUUCAAGGCCUCUGUUUGGAAAAUUCAAUUAUGGAGGACAAAAGCACCUUUUGUAUUCAGCAAAUGGAACAGUUUAAAAGAGAGAAUUUGAAAGAUGAUGCCUUUGAGAGUCUUCAUAGCUGGCGGGAGUGGGAAUGGAGGCUCAGUACCUAAGGGAGGAGUGGCUCCCAAGGGCUGGAAUAGCAAUAGAUUUCUUCUGAGACGAAAAAGGUAAUAAACAAUUACCCUUUUCCCCUCCCUCCUUUUUUCCUAUCCUCCCCAUGGAGAUUUGAGCUGUUACCCCAAGUACUGAGGAAAGUACAAUUUGUAUUUUUCAGAAUUAUUUUUGGCCUAUGAAUGAUUUCCCAAGUGAAGUUUCUGGCUGCAUUUUCUGAGUCACCUCUGCUUUGAAAAUGGUUCUGAUGUCAAUGACGAAGCAUUAUAAUAGAUGGGGAAGUAGAGAUGUGGUCAGUUACCUUUUUAGUUAGCAGCAUAGAAAAACAAUAACUUUGAAGAUAUUUGAAAAAGAAGAAACAUGGUAGUCUAAAGGGAAAGUCAGAUCUAAUUCUUCCUCCAAUUACCAAGCCCUAUUUCUUUUCCCUCUGUGAUUUGUACUCUUGGUCCCUAUCUUUCUCCCAUCCUAUCUCAACUAGUCUUAUCCAAUCCAAUCCACUAGGAUAUCUCUGCCUUCUUGAUUCAACAGGAUUAUUUGAAAUGCAGUCACUUAAAAGUUAGAAUUGCUUCCACAGGGGGGAAAAAAAAACAAACCAAUUUCCAAAAUUGCCUAGGAGCUAUGACUAAGAGGUUUUGCACAGUAGGGUUUCGGUUGUUUUUAUUUUUUCUUAUUUUGACUAAAAGGGAAAAAAAACUCUAAAAUUAGCCUUUGGUGGUUUUUCUUUUUUUUUUUUCCUUCUUCUUUUUAAUUUAGGGCUUUGUCAACAUGAGAUUUUUUUUUUUUUUUUUUUUGCAAUAAGCAAUAUCACAAUUCCUUGACAUUUUCAUUACUGCCUCUUGACAUAUUUAGUAGGGCUUUAAAGGUCUUCUUAGCAAGAAGGAAAAAGAAAUGGCCAGUUCCAAAUGUUUCCAUAUGUUUCCACUUGCUAUCUCAGAUGCUAGAAGCCAGGCCUGGACUUACAUCUUGCAGCCCAGGAUAAUUUCCUGGGGAAAGGUAGGUCUCCUUUGCUAAACUGCUUAUUAAGACCUCAGAAUGAACUCAAUCCAAUUUAACCUAAUUCAGUUUGACAAACAUUUAAUAAGCAUCUACUGCAUAAGCCCUGCAAUCAACAAACAAUAAACAAACAUUUCUGCAGAGCCCCUUCUAUAAAAGGUUAGGUAUGGAGGAGAACAAAAAGAAAUAUGAAACCGGCUGGGUGCAGGGCUUGUUGUUCACAGUCUAGCUGCAAGAAUAUGCACAUUAAAAGAGGGUUAACAAUAUAUGGUGGUAAAAGAGGAAUGUAGGCAAUAAGCACGUUAGGACAUCAAAGAAAGCAAAGCUCCCUGUGGGCGGGGUGAACAGGGAGGACUGAGAGAGAAAGGGAAGAAAUAUUCAUUAAGUACCUACUAUGUGCCAGGCACUGUGCUAAGCACUUUACAAAUACCUGAUCCUUCAAAAAUGAAUGAAGAAGAGGGAAAAAUUCAAGAUGAAAGCAAUCUAUUGUAUAAAGGCAUGGGGGUUUUCACAGCAUAUCUGGGAGCUCAUGAGUAGACUAGUCCAGCUGAAGUGCAAGGGGGUAGGGAGUUAGUGAAAGAAGCAAUGAUUCGCAGGAUAUAAAAAUGGGGGGAACCUAAAUUCCAAUUCUAAAUGGCCUUGAAAGCUCAGACUUGAUCUGGUAGGCAAUGGGGAGCCAUUAAAAGUUUUUGAAUAGAGAAUGGUAUGAUCAAGUAUUUUAGGAGGGCAGACUGAAAAGAAAGGGAUUGGAGGAGGUAAGAUCAAUUAAGGUAAAUGAAGGGAAUCUUAAGAAAGGAAUGAGACUUUAUAGUGGAUCUUGAUCAUUGAUUGGAUGUGAGAGGCUAGGGUAGGAAGGCUAGAGAAAGUGUUGUCUGAGAACUAGGGCAAAGCAGGAUAACAAGAUAUCAGUUUUUACUAAAAUAAAGUCACUUUUUUCCUUCAUUCUUCGCUGGUUGAUAGAAGCUUGAGAAAUGAUUUAGGGGACUUGUUCUAUUUCUUUGCAGCUAGGACCUCUCACCCACCAGCACCAAAUGCCAUUUUGCCAUAGGUUGCCUCUCCCCGCCCCAAGUCCUAUUUGACAGUGUAGGCAGGAUGUUAGAGCUUUUGGACUUUGGAAUGAAAAUGAAAUGCAAAAUAAAAUGAUGAAUUUCAAUAUACUUAGUUUCUGGAAGGUUGGGGAGGAACUUCUAUAUUGGAAAGGACAGUAAAACUCCUUCAGGGGUUUAGGAUGGAGGCUAAGGGGCAAAUUAAAAGAUUAAAAAUAGUUAUUGGUUUAGGAUGUUUCAAAAUCUUCCCUGACAAAGAACUAAAUAACUUCUUGAGGUCCUUUUGAGUCUGUGAUGGACGUUCUGGGAGGCCUUUUAUGAAACUCUUCAUUUAAUGUGAAAAGAAGGGGAACAUUUCUAAAGAUGACAAAAUAGUCUUGAUCCCCGGCUUGUUCCUUCUUGGAAGUACCAUUCUCUGGGAGGAAGCCAGUCAAUCAAUGUCUGUUAUAAUGGGAGCUUCUUUGAUAUAAACUCCAUUUUCUUUGAGAAUCUGACACCUUCUACAGAGGGGAACCAUGAGAACCUUCUCUGAGAUUGUUUUUACUUCUAUUUUUCUGAGAUGGUAUAUUAAAGACAGAUACACUUGGACAAUUUAUAAUAAUGCUUCUAGAAGGGAAAGAGAGGGAAUUGGCUGGCUUACUUACAAAACCCACAGUUUUUACCCGGAAUAAAAAACUUAUCUUUUUUUUUUUUUAAUUGCAAGCACAGCCCCAAGGACCAUUCUGUCAAAAAUGAGAAACUUAAGUAAAUUAACAAGGAAACAAUAAAGAGAAGAUGUUGUUUGAAGGGGUGAGUCAAUAUUAUCUCUUUCUUCAUUCAUCUAUCAUGUUCUAAAGAAA